rnacentral:rRNA from 1 species
GCUGAGUGUUUAAAGCUUCGGCGCUUGAGGAUCGGCCCGCGCUGCAUCAGGUAGUUGGUGGGGUAAUGGCCUACCAAGCCGACGACGCAUAGCUGGUCUGAGAGGACGACCAGCCACAGGAGCACUGAGACACGGGCUCCACUCCUACGGGAGGCAGCAGUUAGGAAUCUUCGGCAAUGGGCGAAAGCCUGACCGAGCGAUACCGCUUGAAGGAUGAAGCCCUUCGGGGUGUAAACUUCUGAACUCGGGACGAUCAUGACGGUACCGAGGUAAUAGCACCGGCUAACUCCGUGCCAGCAGCCGCGGUAAUACGGAG